GUGCUUAACACAUGCAAGUCGAGUGCGCGGUUGUAGCAAUACAACUGGCGCACGGCGCACGGGUGCGUAACACGUGGGCAAUCUGCCCUCCGAUGGGGAAUAACCCCGCGAAAGCGGGGCUAAUUCCGCAUAACAUUCCCUGGACUCCGGUUCGGGGAUUCAAAGGCGUAAGUCGUCGGAGGAGGAGCCCGCGCCCGAUUAGCUAGUUGGUAGGGUAACGGCCUACCAAGGCAAUGAUCGGUAGCUGGUCUGAGAGGAUGGCCAGCCACACUGGAACUGAGACACGGUCCAG
rnacentral:rRNA from 1 species